UACGAAGGGGGCUAGCGUUGCUCGGAAUGACUGGGCGUAAAGGGCGCGUAGGCGGUUUGGACAGUCAGAUGUGAAAUUCCUGGGCUCAACCUGGGGGCUGCAUUUGAUACGUUCGGACUAGAGUGGGGAAGAGGGUCGUGGAAUUCCCAGUGUAGAGGUGAAAUUCGUAGAUAUUGGGAAGAACACCGGUGGCGAAGGCGGCGACCUGGUCCUUGACUGACGCUGAGGUGCGAAAGCGUGGGGAGCAAACAGG
rnacentral:rRNA from 1 species